rnacentral:ncRNA from 1 species
UUGCAUAUAAAUCUUCGAGUCUGUAGGUCUAAAGCCAAGGCUAUGACUGCUGACCGUUAGGUACUUCGGGAAACUGGAGUACCUUCCAUUGCGAAAAGAAGAAAUUAAUACCGGUAA